UAAAACGAAAACUGCACAAUUUCAUAGAUUUGUUUUUAUUACUCGUUAGAGCAAUAUGUGUGGUAUCAAUGUGGAACGCUCUCGCUUUUGAGAAACGCCGAGAUAUAGGUAGUUAAUCAAGUGAUAAUCUCCAUAAAAAACAUGCCAAGAAGCAAGGAAUAUUUACAAUUUAAAUGAUAUAGCCCUCCAUGAUAGUGAAACUAUCGCGCUGAAAUAAUUAUCAAAAACUAGAAGUGGAACGAUUUUCGUAUGAGGAUAAAAAUUUAAAUAUGUGGGGCAGCAUUUUUGCAGUUGCGUCUUUAGGUGCUUUGUCUAUGUUCAUAAUUCAAUACAGGGAUUGGAUUGACUGGAACAAGAAGUUUAAUUACAGAGUCGCACCCGGUCCAUGUAAACAAAUCUUAACAGAAGGAGGUUCAGAAGAUGUCACUUAUAUUGGCAAUGAUUUAGUUGUGAUGUCAUCAG